GGUUAAUUUCCAGAGGGAAGCAAAGGGCAACCAGCCUCAAGGAGAAGCCGCCAGAUGGAGAGCUGAGGCUAGGGUUUGAUUAGUUGUUCGACGCAUUUCCAGAUGCUUGAGAGUGAGAGAAGCAAACAUGGUUGCUAACGGUGCCAGAACAUCGACGACCAAAGAAGCCAACAUCCCUAACGGUACCAGAACAUUGACGACUAAAGAAGACAACAUCCAGAUGACGUUGACAGCGGAAGUCCAUCUCAGAACGAAAAACUGGGCUUAAGUUAGGGUUGUCAGUCUCUGCUUCUGUUGAUACAAAUACAAUAAACUUCCCUUUUGGAGCAACAUUGUGAGAAUAAGAAGUGAAAAUCAGAUACCUGCACAAACAACCACAUAUACUUCAAACACAUAUACUUCAAAUGAGACAGUCUUCAAGUGUUGUGACGAUAAUAAUUACCUUGAAUCAUCUCUCAUUACAUAGAAGCUUAAGUUUUUCUUUGUUGUUGAUGAUAUAAAUUCAUUUAUUUUACAAGUCUAUUCAGCAAUGUUAUUGGAAUGUUUAUUGGAUAUAAUUCAAUUUCAGGAUU